UACAGAGGUCCCAAGCGUUGUUCGGAUUCACUGGGCGUAAAGGGUGCGUAGGUGGUCGGGUAAGUCUGAUGUGAAAUCUCCGGGCCUAACCCGGAAACUGCAUCGGAUACUAUUCGGCUAGAGGGUUGGAGGGGGGACUGGAAUACUUGGUGUAGCAGUGAAAUGCGUAGAUAUCAUGAGGAAGACCAGUGGCGAAGGCGGGUCUCUGGACAGUUCCUGACACUGAGGCACGAAGGCCAGGGGAGCAAACGGG
rnacentral:rRNA from 1 species